AUCCAGCUGACGAGUCCCAAAUAAGACGAGACGCUUUCUGGAU
rnacentral:hammerhead_ribozyme from 1 species